GAUGAACGCUAGCGGCAGGCUUAACACAUGCAAGUCGAGGGGCAGCGCGGGAUAGCAAUAUCCUGGCGGCGACCGGCGGAAGGGUGCGUAACGCGUGAGCGACAUGCCCGUUGCCCGGGGACAACCGGUGGAAACGCCGACUAAUCCCCGAUGGGAUAUGAUGCUUCAUGGCAUUGUAUUGAAAGUUACGGCGGCGACGGAUUGGCUCGCGUCCGAUUAGCUGGUUGGCGGGGUAACGGCCCACCAAGGCUGCGAUCGGUAGGGGUUCUGAGAGGAAGGCCCCCCACAAUGGGACUGAGACACGGCCCAUACUCCUACGGGAGGCAGCAGUGAGGAAUAUUGGUCAAUGGGCGGAAGCCUGAACCAGCCAUGCCGCGUGCGGGAAGGAGGCCCUAUGGGCUGUGAACCGCUUUUGCCUGGGGGCAAUAAGGGCGUCGCGCACGUCCGAUGAGAGUACCAGGCGAAUAAGCAUCGGCUAACUCCGUG
rnacentral:rRNA from 1 species